rnacentral:lncRNA from 1 species
UGCCAAUUAGCGAGGCUGGCGCUGGCUCCCGGACCUCCAUUCUCACCGUGUGGCUGCAGCAGGAAGGUUCGCCAUCGCUGUGAUUAACUGGCGGUAUUCAGCCAGGAGUCAGUCAACGAAAAGGGGCCGAUCGCAGAUGACAAGAGCAGGGGGUGUGCGCGUCACCUCUGCUGUCCGACCUCGCAGAUCAGUGCUGAGCCCCACGGCACAAGUGAUUAACAGCUGAGGCCCCGAAGUCAGCCCAGGGAGCGGAGCCAGGACAGGGACAGGGUCGCAACGCUACAGCGGUAGCUGCCAGCUCCCACUGGCUUCAUCAGCCAGGCCAGCCACCUGCUAAGCACCAACUGUAUGCCCUCCACCUCAGUGCCAGGCUGCGGGCUACUCCAGCACUCAGGGGGGAGUCAGGGUAGGCCACAGGCGCUCCAGGUCAACAGUGAGCAUGGGGGACACAGAGGGGAAUCAGACCCUCUGGUUAAGGCUCAGAGUAGACCCUCUCCUCAUCCAUCCCACACAGUGCUGUGGACCCUGGGCCUGUUACCAUACUCAGAGGUGACAGCAGCAGAGGUAACGGUCUCCAAGAUAUCUUUGUGCAAUGCCAGCAUCCAGGGCCAGGGCCACCCAGAACCCCAGGUGAGAGACUCUGCGGCAGUCAGCAAGCGGCCAAGCCACAGAGGGUCCCGCCCAGCCUUUCAGAAAGUCGCCAGUUGGGCCUCAUCCCCGAUCCCCACUCAGUGCAAAACCAGACGCCCCUGUGCCUGCUCCAGGGGCCACUUCUGUCCCCACGUCAACUUUCACACAUCUCCAGGAAGUAUUCACGCAGCAGGAGCUUUGCUGGAGUGCGCCCCAGAGCCAGGGUCACCUGCUACAAAAGCCAGAGUGAGUGACCUGUUUGUGUUACUACUGGGAGCAAGGGGCUCCCACAAACCCCAAGGGCUGUCCCAGCCUGGAGACAAGGGACUCAGGCGAGCAAGGCUGGCCAGCAACCAGCCAGCCCUUCACUUGAGGAUGCCACAGGCCAGCGGGCAGACAAGGAGCACAGAAGCUCGGCUGUGCCAGUCUCGGCUCAGCCUCCUUUCCUCGACGUGUACUCAGUGGGAUGGGAG